rnacentral:rRNA from 1 species
GCGGACGGGUGAGUAACACGUGGGCAACCUGCCUAUAAGACUGGGAUAACUUCGGGAAACCGGAGCUAAUACCGGAUACGUUCUUUUCUCGCAUGAGAGAAGAUGGAAAGACGGUUUACGCUGUCACUUAUAGAUGGGCCCGCGGCGCAUUAGCUAGUUGGUGAGGUAAUGGCUCACCAAGGCGACGAUGCGUAGCCGACCUGAGAGGGUGAUCGGCCACACUGGGACUGAGACACGGCCCAGACUCCUACGGGAGGCAGCAGUAGGGAAUCUUCCGCAAUGGACGAAAGUCUGACGGAGCAACGCCGCGUGAACGAAGAAGGCCUUCGGGUCGUAAAGUUCUGUUGUUAGGGAAGAACAAGUACCAGAGUAACUGCUGGUACCUUGACGGUACCUAACCAGAAAGCCACGGCUAACUACGUGCCAGCAGCCGCGGUAAUACGUAGGUGGCAAGCGUUGUCCGGAAUUAUUGGGCGUAAAGCGCGCGCAGGUGGUUCCUUAAGUCUGAUGUGAAAGCCCACGGCUCAACCGUGGAGGGUCAUUGGAAACUGGGGAACUUGAGUGCAGAAGAGGAAAGUGGAAUUCCAAGUGUAGCGGUGAAAUGCGUAGAGAUUUGGAGGAACACCAGUGGCGAAGGCGACUUU